GAUGAACGCUGGCGGCGUGCCUAAUACAUGCCAGUCGAGCGAACAGACGAGGAGCUUGCUCCUCUGACGUUAGCGGCGGACGGGUGAGUAACACGUGGAUAACCUACCUAUAAGACUGGGAUAACUUCGGGAAACCGGAGCUAAUACCGGAUAACAUGUUGAACCGCAUGGUUCAAUAGUGAAAGACGGUUUUGCUGUCACUUUAGAUUGGUCCGCGUCGCAUUAGCUAAUGGGUAAGGUAACGGCUUACCAAGGCCACGAUGCGUAACCGACCGGAGAGGGGAAGCGGCCACACUGGAACUGAGACACGGUCCAGACUCCAACGGGGGGCAGCGGUGGGAAAUCUUCGGCAAGGGGCGAAAGCCUGACGGAGCAACGCGGGGUGAGUGAAGAAGGUCUUCGGUUCGUAAAACGCUGUUAUUAGGGAAGAACAAAUGGGUAAGUAACUAGGCACGUCUGGACGGUACCAAAUCAGAAAGCAACGCCUAACUACUG
rnacentral:rRNA from 1 species